rnacentral:rRNA from 1 species
GAUGAACGCUAGCGGGAGGCUUAACACAUGCAAGUCGAGGGGCAGCAUAGGGUAGCAAUACUCUGAUGGCGACCGGCAAACGGGUGAGUAACGCGUAUGCAACCUACCCUGUACAGGGGGGAUAACCCGGAGAAAUUCGGACUAAUAUCCCGUAAUAAUAUCCGGAGGCAUCUUUGGAUAUUUAAAGUUCCGACGGUACGGGAUGGGCAUGCGUAACAUUAGCUGGUUGGUAAGGUAACGGCUUACCAAGGCUAUGAUGUUUAGGGGUCCUGAGAGGGUGGUCCCCCACACUGGUACUGAGACACGGACCAGACUCCUACGGGAGGCAGCAGUGAGGAAUAUUGGGUCAAUGGGCGCAAGCCUGAACCAGCCAUCCCGCGUGCAGGAAGACGGCCCUAUGGGUUGUAACUGCUUUUCCAGGGAGAGAACUUACGCACGUGUUGCGUGACUGACGGUACCCUGGGAAUAAGCAUCGGCUAACUCCGUGCCAGCAACCGCGGUAAAAUCACGUGUA